rnacentral:lncRNA from 1 species
ACUUACAAUAAUCCUUUGAGGCAGGCCUAUUACAACAUCCACCAGAGAUUCGGAGAGGUUGAGUGACUUAUUCAAGGUCACAGGGUUCGGGUUCUGUCACAUAUAUAUGGUGGACAUGUAAUCAGCAGCUGUAUCAGGGGCUGAAGCUUUCUGGCCCAGUUCAAACAAUGUGGGAUGGUGAUGGGGUAAGAAGGCAGUCUGUGCUCAGAGGCUGAGGAUGGAUCUGCUGUGAUGCUGAGCCAGGGGUCAGCCAUCUGUGACAUCAUCUGGCUCCAUACUCAGUGCUUCCAGCUGGGGGAGAUGCAGGAUUUGCUGGGGUUUUUGUGUGGCUUUGUUUGUGUAUCAUUGGCAUUGAAGUGUCAUGUGACAGACACAGAGACCCUAUAGCAACUCUCAAGCAUUGUCCUUGAAAAUCAUCUAUUUUCAAACAAUGGAGGAGCUCAGAGCUAGUGCCUGGAGGUCUAGAGUAGAAAGAGUGUGUGUGUGUGUGUGUGUGUGUGUGUGUGUGUGUGUGUGUGUGUUGGGGGAGUAGACUAGCUUGGCUCUAAGUUAAGCGUGAUGGUACAGAUCUGUAAUUCCAGCAGGCAGGAGGUGGGGGUGGGGAGAUCAGGAGUUCGGGGUCAUCCUUGGCUACAUAGGGAGUUUCAGGCCAUCAUGAGCUAAAUGAAAAAGAAUGUCUUGGCUCUAGAUCUGUCUGUGAUAGGACCGUGGAUAGAUGGUAUAAUCUCUAUGAGCCUCAGGUUCUCGGUGUUACAGGUGGGAAGAAAGUUCUUGAUUAAUGUGGCUUCCUUCUUUUGAUCCAGGAGGUCGGUCUCUGUUGGUACUGGUUCUCCUGAGAGAUUUGUAACACCAUACUUCAUGACCCAGGGUGAAGGAACUUCCUAUACUGUCCCCACUUCCAAGAAUGAAGACAGCCUUCUGGCCUAAAAACAUGGUGAGACAGGGCUGUUCCUCACUCUGAAAUGGGACAGAAGGAUCCAGGCCAAGGGAAGGGAGGGGAAACUUCUGCAUCACAUCUCUCCAUUCUGCAUCCCUGACCCCAUCAGAGAACACUACUGAGACAGGCCACGUCCCUCAGCUCUGAGCUUCUCAGACCACCCACUGGUAGCUGCUACCCCUGCAGCCUGCGGGCUCUGGGGACAGGACUGAGGGCCAGGCCACCAGCUAGGAGCCCAGGCCAGGGAGGGCACAGGCGGCUGCUGCAACCUGAACACUCGAUAAACCAUUAAUUCUUAAUAAACGACAGGCUGUGCAUUAUUUAACAAUAAUGAUACUUUCUGUUCCAUUAUAGAUUAAAACACCGGCCUCUUCUUAUUAAUCCUGCAUUUCAAAAGCUUGUAAAUCCUACACAGCCAGAGGAGAUAAAAGCAGGCUCAACCCCAUCCCGGGGCUGACACACUCUGCCUGACAUGGUGGCUCAGCGGCUCUGCCUGGGUGCUCACACUCGUGUGCCCUGGGCCCACCCACAGCCCUGUUCUUGGACAUUUAUCAGCACACCUGCUGUGGAUAUCUCUCUCCUUACUUCCCUCACUUACACACACACACACACACACACACACACACACACACACCCCACAGUCUGCCUUUCCAUUCUCUACCUCUCCUUCCUUUAUCUUCACAGCAUUCUGCCACACAUAACCAUACUAUGCACGGAUUCUAUUCUCAUCUGACUUUUGCAUUUCUCAAGGGUCCUGCGGAGGGGCUUGGGGAAGAGAAGAUCAAUCUUAGGUAGGCGGUACACAGAAAAGAAGGGGGCUGGUACCUCAAGCCCCUGCAGGCUGGGGAGGCUCUGAGUCCUUUUGACAUACUGGAAUUCCCUUAGAACUGCAUAGGAAUUUUCUUAGCAUGGCCCUGACUGGACAUGCAGCUCUCCUCCCUAUGGCCCUCAGGUUCUCUUUACACACCGUCAGAGACAGGGAGCUUACUCCCACUAGAGAUAGCAUCCGCACUGCCGGAAGCCUCCAGCCUUCCAGGGCUUCUUUAGAAGCCACGGUUCGUGGUGUACACCUAAAAUCCUGGCACUGGGGAGGACGGGAGCAGGAGGAAGCAUCAGAAGUGCAGUGCCACCCUCUGUUACUCAGUGAGUUAGAGACCAGCCUGAGCUACACGAGACCUUGUCACAAAGAACAAAAUACAGACAGACAACAAGAAGCUUCCUCGAGAAAAGCCAGUCUUGGCUUCGGGCUCCCUGGUACAAGACAGGCCUUUGGGAAGGGGCAGCUGCUACCAGGUGCCUGCGAUGCUUCUGCCCUUUCCUCGGAUCUCAGGCUGAGCGGUGUGGACUUUCUCCAUUCCCUUCCUCAGUGCUGCCAGAGUUGCAUACCACAGCCCUUCCGUGUGCAGGCAGAGCAGGCGCCAGGUAGAUGGUCUUUCUGGGG